AAGACCNUGGNCUCUGGAGUUANUAAUGNCNGUGGGUGCCCUAGCUAAACGUCUUCAAGUAUUCACGNCCUGGGGAGUANGCCUCGCCNAGAGUGACACUCCNUNGGAAUUGACGGGGACCCGCACNAGCGGUGGAGCAUGNGGUNUAANUAGACGCNACGCGAAGAACCUUACCUGGACUNGAAUGUGAGGGAAGGGCUUCUAAUAGAGUCAGUCNCGGGCAACCGGACCCAAAAACAAGGUGCUGCAUGGCUGUCGUCAGCUCGUNUCGUGAGAUGUUGGGUUAAGUCCCGCCAACGAGCGCAACCCCUAUUGACAGUUGGCCAAUAUUAAGUUAGGAACUCUGUNCAAGACUGCCGUUGAUAAAACGGAGGAAGGUGGGGAUGAUGUCAAGUCAUCAUGGCCUUUAUGUUGCAGGGCUACACACGUGCUACAAUGGUUGGUACAAAACGUCGCNAUCUCGUAAGAGGGAGCUAAUCGCUAAAACCAAUCUCAGUUCGGAUUGGAGUCUGCAACUCGACUCCAUGAAGUUGGAAUCGCUAGUAAUCGCAAAUCAGCAUGUUGCGGUGAAUACGUUCCCGGGUCUUGUACACACCGCCCGUCACAUCACGAAAGUAGGUUGUACUAGAAGUAGCUGGGCUAACUCGCCAAGAGAGGCAAGUUACCACGGUAUGAUUUAUGAUUGGGGUGAAGUCGUAACCAAGGUACC
rnacentral:rRNA from 1 species